rnacentral:lncRNA from 1 species
CGAAGUUAGUAAUUACCUGAUCCCAGGAAUUGCUCAAUAGGUCAAUCCCCUGAUCCCUUGCUAUUUUCACCUUUAUGCAGCUGUAGGGGGAAGGUGGUAGUCUACAAGCCUGCGAGAGCUAGAGUGGAGCUUCCUAUGUGACAGAAGCAGGAUGGGGCCUUCUCUGCUAAAAUUCCAUGGAAAUAAUAAUAGUAAUAUUGACUUAUUUAUGGAGGGUACACAAUCAACACCUGGCCUUGGCAAGUAACUUAACCUGAGUACCGGAUCUCAGAUAUUAUAUUGAGAUAUAUUAUACCCACCUAAUAGAAUCUUCGCUUCUGAAGACUGAAGUGAACAAGGAAAGUGCUUUAUACCAUGGCAGAGUUAUACACCACGCCGGGAGCCCUCCUACCUUUACUACAUGGGCUCAGUGUCCACGGAGAACUCCAAGCUCUGGAAAUGUCAGGAUUAGUCAAGAAGACAGUAAGAUCUCAAGUCACCACCAGCACCAAAUGAUAGAGUCAACAAUCCCAACUCCCUUUUCAGGCCCCUUAUCUAGAAAAGGGACUAUGCCCACAGUCCCACUGGGAAUUGCUUUCAGAGGAGCUGAUGAAAGCUGUGAAGGCACUGUUGCCCAACAGUGAGGGGAGUGGAAACAACUUGGCAGAACCUCUGGGAAGGCCCAUCAGGGCAUGAGAUCAGUGACCAGAGACGAGGACCACACUCCAGGGGUAGAGGCAGAACCACAUGUCAUGCCCUGCAGACUCCAGAGCUGCAUCUCCAAGACAGAGGGAGGCCUCCAGCAGACAAGAUGCGGAUGCGGGCCUUCUAAAACUCAGCUUUCAGAUGAAGACAGCACCGAGUCUCAGACCUACGCUUGCUGGCCGUUCCAUCAGAUAGGAUUCUACACCUAAGAACAGACUGAGGGCUCUAUCAGCUGACCAGAGACUCUCAGAGGCUCAGCACCACUCUCCAGAUAGGUCCUAACCCAGAGGAAGGGCUCAUUUCAAGAUGCCUGAGAUGGGAAGCACUGACACACCAAUGUUCUUCUGCAGGUGUCCUGAACUCCAUUAAUAAUCCAGUCCAUGACCACUGAGUCCCUGUGUUUGGGAUGAUAUUCUUUUCCUUCCUAAUGUUUCCUGUCUCAGAUGCGUCUCUCUGAGCCAACAUAAUUGAUUUAAAAAAGUGGGAAGAGGAACAGGAGAAAUAAGAGUCAACUUCAGCUGGGGGCUGGGCCUUGGCUCCCUUACCUGGUUGAUGUCUCCUUUAUUCUGAAGACUGGUAGCAAAUGGCUCCGUUUUGGAAGAAGGAUGACAGAAGGAGGAGCCUAGCCACACACAGGAAGUAAAUGAUGGAAUUGAUGACCCGUGGCUCACUCACUCUCCUCAGAAAGGAGAUAGGUGUCCAUCAUCUGAGGCCUGAAGCUCACUACUGCCUCAGACAACAGGGCACUGAGAUGUGUGCUGUAUUCUAGAAUGUUCCAGGCCUGCAUCACAGAGCAUGGAGCAGUGACAAAG